rnacentral:lncRNA from 1 species
GAAAAUGUGAAAACUCAGGUUAACCAGCAUAUGCCAGCUUUUCACGCUGAUCCUGAUCACACUGUGAUGGUAUAUGUAGCUGACUAUGAUCAUCAAGAGGCACAUUAGCAAAACCAUGGCAGUGGCAUAAAUUACUGGAUGCAAAAGAUCAGCUGGCUGUGUAUAUAAUUCAGCUUCUGUCAAGUCCAUUAAAACUGCAUAGUUGCUGAGGGAGUAGCACUGAAUGGUAGUAAUGUUUUCAUCAGACAGAAGAAUGCGACAGCCAUCAGACUUCCA